rnacentral:lncRNA from 1 species
CAAAUCACCCCCUCCCUUAAUUCCGUAAAUGAGUUAGUUGAAAAAACAAGAAACAAAGAUAUAAAACUCGAACCGAUUAGCUAGUCAGGCUUGUGACUUCUAUGAUAAAGAGCAUUUUCCCUCCUAUUUGACCUAGUCGAGAGUCUAACUAGUUUUAUAGACACAAAAAAGGAAAAUUUACUCAAUUUAUAAUGCUAAAACUCAUGCUUUUUAUACUCUCAUUUCAAUUUUUAGGUUACGCUACAAGUAACAAAUGAUCGACUAAUUAAGUAGCCGAUGCUCUUACAUAUUUUGACACCUAAUUUUCUAGUAUGACUAAGUGGGAUAUGCCUAUAAAUUUCGUUCAUUCUCUUUAUAGCAAAGAUGAGUUAGAACUUCCUAACUUUUUUUAGUUUCAAUAAUGUCUGAACCCAAAAUAAGAUCUUAUUUUGUUUAGUCUUUCUCUUCCCUUCUAUUUUGAUUUAAAAGACUUGCUAAUAAAAUAAAACAAUAAUUUGAUACAAGUCUGGAUGCUGCCGAUAUAUAUAGUUCGCCCGUAGAAGUCCACAACCUUAAUUUGCCGCUGACAUUUUAGUCGGCGAAAGUCAUCAACCAAUUCAAUAAUUCAUAGAAAGAAGUUUUUUUGUGCGCAGCGUCUAAAAGUGAGAAUUCAAUAAGAAAUGCAUCAAACAUUUAAACCGGCGGGCUGUUGUUCGUGUUGUUGAAUCUUCUGUUUGGCAGGAGGUUGUUGAUUUAUGUAGUUUACUAAUUACUAACUUCUUAUCUUACUGGUUUUCGAUCUUUUACACAGAUGAGGCUCUUUAAAAUUACUAACCCAAGUCACAGUUGAUAGAACGUCAUAAUAAUGAAAGUUCAGAACCUUCUACACCUCAGUUGUUUAUUACUACUCCAAAGCAAUUUCGUCCAAAACUACCAAAUAAGUUUUAAUUCAAUUAACGUGUAGAGGUUGUUGUUGCAAUUAAGAUGAUCGGAUGAAAGUAGCACGGCUCACCAAAACUGCCCAGAGAUACGAAAUGAAGUUAGUGGUUAAUUUGAGUAUAAGAAACUCGGUCAUAUGUGAAUUGUCCCGCCAAACAUGAAAGAUGGCAUGCAUAUUCGACUCCUUUGUUAAUUAGAACUUCUAUCUAUAUCAUUUACAAAAUAGUUCAAGCAAUACUUCCAAUAUUGAUAACCUCUAUAUUACUAUACUUCUAAAACAAAUGAAAUCACACUACUGAAAUCCAAGUGUGUGCAAUAAGGUUAUUUAUAUAGACCGAAUUAAAAAAUAUUAAUUAUUUAUUAAUCAGUUAUGUUGUGACGACCUUUUUGAUUAACGAGUUUUCCUCGUAUCACAAAUUUGAGUAUCCAUUCUUUGUAAUUGACGUGAUAGAUACAACACAACCGUAACUUGAGCUUAACACGAUUAGACAUGAUCGAGGAAUUGCAUUAGACUACAACAGAAAUGAAACUUAACCAAAGACGAGCAAACAAAUUACAGAAUACAAACCAAGCUAUUAUUCCAAAAAAAAAAAUAAUAAAAUCAACUUGUUACUUGCAUAAUGCUGAUCUCACAAUCAAUAAUUUCCCCACAUCCUAUGCCAGCUAGAUGUCUUUUUUAAGCAUCUAACCCUAGCUAUGAUGAUUAAAAACAGACCCAACACUGAAUAUGCUAGUCACAAUCCUCGAGUUACCAUCAAAAUUAGAGUUUGGAUUAGAAAAUACUACGAAGCUCAGAAAAACGGCCGGUUUUGACCACCAUAGGACCUCCCCACCUAUAAACUCACCUUCUACUUUCAUUCUGCAUAUAUUAACUUCGACGUACUGCCACCCUUACACUAUACCUUAUAAGGAAGCAGCACCCUUUUGUGAAACCCUAGCUGAUUUCCUUAUCAAAAUUUAGGUUUCGUUCUGGAAAAAGAUCGAUAUGAAGCUCGCUCGAUCACAAGUGCUAGCGGUUUCGACCACCAUAUAUAGGACCUCCCCGGUAAAUUCAUCCUCGAUCUACUGCUGCUCUACACCAAGUAGGAAGCAGCAUCUUUCACUGUGCAAACUAAGGUGCCCUAAGUCGAUCGCGAUUUCCCUAAGUGGAUCACAACUCACGUACAGAUGGAGCUGCACGUUAUUACUUGUAUUUCCAUGAUUUCUCACAUGACAGCCACGCACCAUUUCUGCCCCAUUACCCUCUUCUUCUUCUUCUUCUUCUUCUUCUUCUUCUAUUACUAUACUUACAUUCUGGAACGCAACCCGCCAUUUCGAUCUUCAACCACUCCCCUUCAUUAUUGGGGUGCUUAUAAUUAUGGUUUCACACCCCGGCCCUCUCAUUCAUAUGCAAUUAUCAAAAAAUAAUUGCGCUAGUAAUUUGUAAUUUUGACUUGAAAUAAUUUAACGGUUUUUAAUUUCAUCUUGACCAUAUAUAUAUACGACCAUUCACUUGAGGUUGAGGUUAUUACAGUGGAAUUGAGUGAAAACAAUGACUAACACUGAAUUUGUUGCUGUGGGAGUGUGGAUGCAUCUUCAAUUUUGUUUGACAAAAUGGGUAAGUCAUUACAAUAUAUGUAAUGAAAACCAAGAGAUCUCCCUAGCUACUUUAGGACUAAUUUUGACCGAAAGUAAUAAGUAACACUGAAUUUGUUGCUAGCAUGGAAGAUCUUCAGUUUUUAUGAUUUUCAAGCUUCUUAAUAAACACAUUGAUUGAAUUUUUUAUUUGCAUUAAUAAAGGAUCAUUCCAAUUUUUUGACCUACUAUUUUUAGGAUCGAUCCUUAUACGUAGUUGAGUGAAAACUUCUACCCAUGAUGCUCGAUGAGUUACUCGUUUAAGGUUGACUCCAUUUGAUCAAGGCUAAUCACACUAGUUUGAUGAAAACAAAAGAUGGGGUACGGUCGUUCCAUUAACCAGUUUUCAGCUAAUGAACGAUUGACCUUUCAGAAUUUGAAAUUACUAAAACAAAAAUGAUUGAACCUCUAAAUUAGAACAUAAAUUAAUUUUACAAAAAAGACAGAACAACGGGGUAUGAAGUAAAACCCACGGAAAAAAGACUAGAACAGGGACAAGCAUGGCCCAUGAAUCAUUAUUGUACCGAUAUUAUCCCAACUUAACUACCUUUAAGGUGUUGGGUUUUAACCACAAAAGGCCUCGGUACAAUUGGAUAUGAUCCAUCCACUUAUAAGUUGUAUUUUAUUUGUCCCUUUUCUGAUGUGAGAUCUUUCCUCUCCAACACUCCCCCUCACGUGCAACCUAAUUUUUAGGUCUGCACGUGGAAUUCAUUCAGUCCAAUUACCACAUCGGAAAUCGGUAAUGCUUCAGUCCAAGGCCCACUGCAGGCACUUGGUAUGGUAUGGGCCAAUCGGAAUUUUUCCGCUGGCAAUUCGAUGAACCCAAAUCUGGGCUCAUUAUGCUGGGAGAUUUUCUCCCGUUACGCUGGGAGACGUAAUUGAAGAGGGACCCGCUCUUAUACCAACUAGAACAGGGACAAGCAUGGCCCAUGGAUCACUAUUGUACCGAUAUUAUCCCAACUUAACCACCUUUAAGGUGUUGGGUUUUAACCACAAAAGGCCUCGGUACAAUUGGAUAUGAUCCAUCCACUUAUAAGUUGUAUUUUAUUUGUCCCUUUUCUGAUGUGGGAUCUUUCCUCUCCAACAAAAAGAACCAUAGCAGCACCUAUGAAACUCAAGCCUUCUCUUUGAAGACCACGUACUAGCACCCAUCUCGUCCGGUGGAAACCCUGGCUAUUGGAUGGCCCUUUGGCUUAACCGAUGCUAGGGUUUCGCUACCGGAUGAGACUUGUUUCUACUGCCCAGUAGUUUUCUUUGACAGUGGCUUGGCUCUAGGGUGAUAUAGGAAGAAUCCAGGUCCAUGACCUUUGCAAGUUUGGGGAGAUCGGUGAUUGCUUUUAGUCUAAAGGUGGCGGGGGACUUUGAAAGAAGCGCCCAUGAUCGAGUUGGUGUGAUUUGGAUGCUUUUUAAAGGAUUGUGUUUCGGUAAGACUUAGCAAGAGCUGAUUUUGGUGGUUGUCGAACCUCAUCGGACAAUGGUGGCAUAGUCACUGUGAUUUACGAGGAUUUGUGGUGGUUCUUGUGGUUGCGAAUCGGCGGUGACUAUGGAAUAUGGUGUGGUGGCACAUGGGUCAGUGGGCACGGGUCUUCUCUGAUGGGCCUGGGGUUGGGCUUCUUUAAGACUGCUGGGACCUAGUUGGGCUAGGGCUCUAAGUUGGGGCCUUAUCCCUUUUAUCCCUUUGGGGAACUAUAGGGGUUUUCCCCCAAUCUAGAGUUCUAGUCUUUCCACCUUAGCCUAGACAUUUGAUUGUGGACUACUUCUGUUCGAUUCUGGGUUUCUAGUAGUUGUACAUCAAUUGCGGUCUCUAGGCGACUAUUUCUACCUACAAUAGGGAUUUGAUAGGAAUGAUUUAAGGUCAUUUGUAUGUAGGCUUAAUAAACUGAGCUAAACCUUUUUGCAAUGAGGGUACUUUUCAGUUAUUUUUACUUGUUUACUACCAGAGAACUUUGGUGUAAGCCAAUAAAUGUUGUAAGUGCCUUCUGGUUAUAGAUAAGUAAUGAAAGUAUAUAAUUUCCUUCAAAUUGUUUACUUCCAGAGAACUUUGGUGCAAGCCAAUAAAUGUUGUAAGUGCCUUCUGGUUAUAGAUAAAUAAUGAAAUUAUAUAUUUUCCUUAAAAAAAAAAAGGGCAGAGCAACCGAAUUUCCACUAGAUAACUAAAACAAAAACUUGUUAGCUAGGUUAAUGCCCACCUCAAGUAUGAAGUAUGAAGUAUUUACUGUACAAGUUAUUGAAUAAAAUAUUGUCUAACAUAAACGGAUUGACUUUAUUUGCUGAUGAAAAUAGUUACAUUAAGGGAAUGAACACAAUGUGUGUGUGUGAAUUAACAAGCACCACCAUUAACUAGCUAAUCAUACAUACAUAUAUAUAAGCUAUAAAGCGUAACGAUGUGACGAUUGAGAUUCUAAAUUCAGAAACAGAUUCCCUGAUGAAUGUUGAAGAAAAUCAAAGAAGAAUCUCAGGUAGGUGGUCGUCUAGAUAAGAUUGAAGAAGAAUGCUAACUUUGCAUAGCAAUUAACUAAGGUAAUCGGUGGCCGGUCAAAACUUUAGGAGGUGCUUCAGCUAGCUUCUCCCAAAUAAGUUUGAAAAAGAAACGAUAAUGAAAAAACCACAAGGUGUUAGAUUCUGUUGAAGCCUUUCAAGUAUGGCAAGGGUUGAGGGGAAGGGGUAGAAGCUCUCUACGCUUUGUAUCACUUUCACCUCACCGUCGACUGUCACUAACUUAACUUAUAUCAAAUUCGAUUUUUUUUUAGUAAUGGCAUAACCAGGAAAUAUAUUGAUCACCAGCCAUAAUAGGCCGUCACAUAUCCUCUUGCUGCCUCUAGGACAGAACAAGGAGUUGUAGUAGUACCCACUGGUGAUACAUAGAAACAGACCUACUCAUUAUACAAUUGAAUACGUAGAGAUAUCAGAUCGAUAUCCUCCUUCGAUACUACUCCAGAGUACGUUAGAGAAAAACUUAGAGAACAAAACUUCAGAAAAUAGACUCAAAACACCUAGCGGUGCCAUGACACAUGUAAUGUGCUUAGGAUCUUAAUGUACUAGUGGAAUCAAGGCCCAACUGGGCUUUAGCAUGAGCAGGAAUAUGUCUCUCCACGCGCGUUGAGCAAUACCGCACGGUAACGUCUACCGCCGUCAUGAUUAAACCAGGUGCUCGCCGAACCAGCAAACGACAUCACCACGUCACAAACCUAUGCCGCAUCGCAGUUCUAUCAGAUCUUACACUGGGACUGCCGUUUAGAUUCCACUGGUUAUAGAUCUCAUGCCUCCACCGCCGUUCAUACCUUCAAGGAGAAACCAUGCCGCCACCAGGGAAGUCUACACUGAAACAAUCAUAAUACAAGAAACUAAGAAAGAAAAGUUGACUACGGAUCAAACCAAAAAAAAAUAAAAAGUUUGAGUCAUGUAUUUUUUUUUUUGAAAAUGGGCUAAAUCGGCCGCCCUCAUGCCUUAACCAUUAACGAAACCGCAAAAUACAAGGGGGGGGGGACAUAAAACCUAAACCCCAUAUUGCCUGAACAUCCUGAAAUAAUAUCAAGAGUUCUCAAUCCUAUGCAUUCUAACAAGCACCAUUUAGCAAGGAGUGCAUCAGUGGCUACUCUAUUUGCUUUACAAUUUUGGUGACAUACCUGAAAGACAAUGCUCGUGCAGAGCCAUAAGUUACUAUGUCUAACAGCUUUCCUACUAUGUUGCCACUGGAAUAGAUUACCAGUGACACUGAGUUUCAUCUUGCCACUGGGAGGUUGCGACCAUUUGAAACUCGCCGCCUUCCAAGAGCAAACAUGGUACGUAAAUCGCGCAAACCGGGAUGUAACCCACGUAUCCAGAUCAGAUAGAGAUCAGGACUUAUUGUAAACUUAAAAUAAAUUACAACUAAAAAACAAAAUACCACAGCCAAGCCCAAAUAAAGAGACAAGACCCAAUCUUCCACAGAAGAAUCAAGAAGAAAACACGGUGCUCGCUGAACCUGGUCAAUCCCAUCGCCGGCCGUCACCGAUGGUUCACCACCUACUCGGCCGCGUCUGCAUCGCCGGAGCGCCCAACCCACUCUGCCCUCCCCCUCGCGCAGAAGAACGCAACCCUUGCUCUGCAACCUCACCUCCAGACCAGAUCAAAAAGAUCUUAACCCGUUCGGAGUGAUCUGAUCGAAGCCUAGCCGCGCCGCCACAAUCUCUCCAGUUCCCAGCCACCACCAUUGCAGCGCACCCCAUCCCCUCCGUCGAUCAGACCAACAAUGGGAGAACCAACAUCCAAGCAGAGCCCUGCCUUCACCCUUCCUCACCCUGCAAACCGCCACCAAAAGUUCCCCAUCACGAUCAAGGAUCUCAAUAGGGGAAGCUGGCUUAUUCUGAACCCACACGGGGCCGACAAGGCCUGUCCGACGACGGUGAGAGAGCACGUCGCCGGACAGGGAUGCAUCUUCGACUUUUGCUCUCAGCCUCUAGGGUUUUUAUGACGGAACCAAAUAAACAUAGUUUGAGUCAUGUAUAACAAUGAAAAUUCAUCAGCCAACCUAGUGGGUAAUCACUUUUCUAACAUGGCAGAUGGACAACCACAUUUUUAAGUGUAAAUGUCGGUUUUGACUGACACUUGAAUUUUCUGUUACCGUCAUGUUUGAAUAAUUUUUUUUUGGUCAUAUGUUUGAACCAAUUUGGGAACGAUGAAAAUUUAACUCAGUGAGCUCUCUCCGUAAUUUUUCUUGUUCUUCUAGAGUGGUCGGAGAGUAGCUCGUGAGGGUUUGGAUUUCUCUAUCCUAACCGCCUCAUCUCCCCUCACCUUUACCCGCCCAACAAUCAUCAUUAUGUUGGUCUUUGGCCAGAAUGUCGCCACGAAGUAGUACGGCGGCAACAACAGCCUACGUCAAUCUCGCUCAUAGAGGACACCUCAAUCUCUGCGUAUGUUGACGUAGUCGUGGCAAAGGACGAGAAGGAGACUUACGGCGGCGUGGUAGGGGAGGGCCGCUAUAGUUGGUAUGAGGAUGGGGAGGAGGGAAGUGACAACUACAAAGGUAGUGGCGCGCAUAAGAGGAGCUGCGGAUUGCGCCCAUGCGAGGUCAAAACUAGAAGUGUAGAUGUUGAUGUGAGUAUAGACUUUUUUGAUUGACAUAACAGUUUUGUGAGCGCUUCGUUAACAUAAAUGAGGUGAGUCCUCAUUAGUUGGUUGGGGGGGGGGGGGGGGGGGGGGGGGUAGGGGGGAAGAAUCUCCAAACAUCAAAACUUUUUUUUUAAGAAGAUUACAAUUACAAUUUUAUUAUCCAUUAUGGAGGUAAAUGCCAAAAGUCUUACUAGGAAAAUGAAAGGUGUGGAUGAUGAAGUUGGUAGAAUAAGUAGUUUUUUUAGUAUGAAGUGUAAUUUUUUCUUUCUUCUGUUGACAGUGUUACAUACAGUAUCCCCAAAGUCUUUUUAGGUUUAGAAAUUGAGUGCAUGUUUCUAAUUAUGCAUUUCUCUGGCCAUUUUCACAACUUUAAGGUAUAAACCUAGGUUUGAGAGCACAUCCAACCAGACGAAAACCAACAAGUCACUUGCAAUGGUUUAGUAUGAAGUGCAUAUAGUCCUACCUAUAAACAUCUCUUGAUUAAAUAGUAAAUUUAAACAUCAACUGAUCGCUUAUUCACAUUUUUACAUUCAUAUCCUUAUUGUUCAUACAAAAAUAUGGAUUUACCUAAUUCGAGUGAGUGAUAUUUAAAUUACAACCACAUAUUUCUACAAAAAGCCAAAAGAAAUAUUUUCAACAACAUACUCGAAUAGUAGAUGCUCAAAAGGAAACUUAAGUUUAGAUAUUGUAUUUAUGAUAACGAGUUUAUGUUUUUUUCAAUGAAAACAAUACAAAAUUACUUAUAAUAUAUGAGACAAAAUAUUGAUAAUAUCAUUUCCUUAUUAAGUGGCCUCAAAUUUGGUUCAACAAUAAGGAAGGGCCAUAGAUUCUUCACAAUCUUUUUGUUUUUGUUUUUGUAUCAUUUUGGUCAAUGUAACAUUGUGUUUUGUGUCGUUACUGAUAGGGUAAUUAUAUGUCGUUUUGUCAACCAAGAAUUGCUAAAUUGUGCAUCGUCGCACAACAUGCAUGGAAAACACGUUUCGACUCCGACCUUACGACUAUUUUGCCAUAAAGACCGAUACCUUUACUCGUUUUUCCUAUCAAUGGGUACGCAUUAGUCGUUUACUAGGUUCACCGAUUCUUUUUUCCUUUUGACGUUAUUUUUGUCUUCAACCAAUUUAAGUCUUUGCAUUUUACUUCCACAUGCACCGCAUGACACAUAAUUGUCGAAAAUCCAGUAUCAAAAGAAGAGAUAAACACCGGAAUUAAAUGGAGUCAAAUUUGAAACAACCGCCCCAAAAAAUCGACAAGGGGGGGGGGGGGUAAAAUGUGAAAAUCAAAAGGUAAAUUACCUCUUUGGACUGCCCUUGUGACUUUUGUUUAACAUGCGUUGUAGCAAUUAAUCUCAUGAUUAUAGCACAUAAUUAGGCUAAAUCAAUGUGGAGUCAAGGUGUCACUGUUGUAAAGGUGAUGGAGAGUGGAGUAGUAGGGCAACGUUUUCUUCUGCGAAGAAGAAGAAGAAGAAGAAAUAAAAAGAAAUAAGGAGAUUUAUAGGACCCAAAUGCAGAAAGAAGUAAUAAAAAUCCAAAGAGUGUACAGAGAAGAAUAGUAGAAGUUGUAGAGAGAAAAGAAAGAGAGAAGAAAACCAAACCCUGUCUCGUGAAGCAGCAGGUGAAGAGAGAAAGAGGCGAAGAAGAAGAAGGAAAAACAAAAACCCCCAUAUUAUUCAUAUAAAAUAAAAGCUUCUCUCUUUCUUUCUUUCUUUCUUUCUUUCUUCUUCUCAGAUUAUCUCUCUCUCUCUAAACAAAACACCCUUCACAUUCAUUCUUUGCUUCUUCCCUUUUUUUCUUAUAUCACGAGAUCCCCAUCUCGGCCCUUUCUCUCAAUCUCUCUUUCUUUAAUGUCUUCUUCUUCUUCCUCCUCACAGCCUCUUCUUCUUCAGCUGCUUCUGGGUUUGUCUUUUUCUUGCACCCAUUGUUGUUCUUGGAGUAAAGGCCUCACUGGGUCUCACAUUGCUCACUCUCUGUGAAAAAAUCUCCAAAUUCGAAACACACAGACUGAAAAAAGAUUCAACCUUUAUUUUUUCUUUUUUUCCUCGCCGGAGUUUUGUUAUCGGAAAUGUCGCACUCCGGGAAGCCCAUUUCGGAGACAGGAGGAGGAGUCGACUCGCUCUCGGAUCGCCUCCGUGAGUCACUGAGUUGCGAGGCCAACAAGCCCGAUUUCCGAGAACUCGAUCUGGGCUCGCCCGUUUCGCCACUCCGGACCCACCAGAGUGGAGGCCUCGCCGCCGCCGCCGCCACAAGCAGCAGCUCCAGUUCGUCCGGAUCGGUCUCGGGUCGGAACCCGGUUGCCAAGAGAUCCGGUUCCGGUUCGGGGCCCACCACCACCAACAAGAGCCAUUCCGGCGAGCUCUCCCGGUCCAGCGAGAGCAGUCCCACGAACAGUUCCAAACCGGGUCAUAGGAGAUCCAAUUCCGGGUCAGCCCACCCGUUAAUCUACUCGGGUCAGAUCUCCUCCUCCUCCGCCGUCAACUCGUCUCCGAGAUCGAAUGUUCUCCCCACCGGGAACAUCUGCCCGUCCGGGAAGAUCCUCAAGGCGGGUAUGGUGCCCAAUCGGAGCUCCAGAACCGACGUCUUGGGCUCCGGGACGGGCUACUACGGCCACGGGAGCAUAAUGCGGGGCGGCGCGGCGGCCAAGACGGAGGCGGUGAGCUCGAGGACUAGCGGCGGAGGAGGAGGAGGAGGAGGAGGAGGAGGCGGAGACUUGAAGAGAGUGAUGGAGCCGGAAGAGGUCAAGAGAGCUGGGAAUGAGCAUUACAGAAGAGGCAAUUUUGCGGAGGCUUUGAGCUUGUAUGAUCGGGCAAUCGCUUUGUCUCCGGCCAAUGCCGCUUACCGGAGCAACCGUGCUGCGGCAUUGACCGGCCUAGGGCGGCUGGGGGAGGCGGUGAGGGAGUGUGAGGAGGCUGUCAAGUUGGAUCCCAAUUAUGGCAGAGCUCACCACCGUUUGGGGUGUUUGUUUGUUAGGUGAGUUGGGAGCUAAAGCUCAAGUCUUUUCAAAGCAGAUGUGUUGGUUUAUUAAAUUUGGUGCUGGGUUAGUGUCGGUGUUGUUGAUUAGUUUGAGAAUGUCUCUACUUUUUUGGUUCUUGGAUCUGGUUCACUGUGCUGUUUUAGGUUUCCAUUCUUGACUUGGAUGUGUCUUCGUCAUGGUGUGCUUCUUUUAGUCUAGUUUACUGUAUGCUCCUGUAUUACAUUAUGCUGUGUUUGCUUAGAGGUCUUAGAAGGGUUUUCAAAGCCUUGUUGGUUCGUAUUCAUUUGAUUCGGAUCCGAAUCCUGCUGUAAAAUUUCAGUGCGGUGUGGAAUUUUCUCCACUCUAAUCUCUGCAUAAUUCACUGUUGUGACAGGUUAGGGCAGGUCGAGGAUGCCAGGAGGCAUCUAUGUUUUCCAGGGCUGCAGCCCGAUGCGGCUGAGUUACGGAAAUUAGAGGUAGUAGAGAAGCAUCUUAAAAAAUGCACAGAUGCCCGCCGUGUAGGAGAUUGGAAAAGUGUAUUGAGGGAAAAUGAUUCUGCCAUUGCUGCUGGAGCUGACUUUUCUCCCCAGGUAACUAUUGGUGUCUAAAAUCUUGACAACUGAAAUUGUAUUAGAUUUUGUCAUGAGAUGCACAUAACAAAAUGCUGAACUUGUUCAAAUUGAAUUUACAGCUCUCUAUGUGUAGAGCGGAAGCACAUUUGAAGCUCUACCAAAUUGAUGAUGCUGAAUCAGUCGUAUCAAACAUACCCAAAUUAGACACUUAUAUGACCUCCUCACAAUCUAAGUUCUUUGGGAUGCUUUCUGAAGCAUACACUUACUUUGUCUUGGCCCAAAUUGAGAUGGCAUUUGGAAGGUGAGUUUGAAUUUUUAUUUAAAGGUUCAUCACAGUUACAAAGGUUAUGAGCUUUGUGGUAAGUGAGAAUGGAUGAUGGAUGUAUUGCAGGUUUGAGAAUGCAGUUACUGCUGCUGAGAAAGCUGGAAAGAUUGACCCCCGAAACCUUGAAGUUGCUUCACUGCUUCAAAAUGUGAGAAUGGUGGUGAGAGCUCGUGCCCGUGGCAAUGAUCUCUUCAAAUCCGAAAGGUUCACUGAAGCAUGCUUAGCAUAUGGAGAUGGCCUGAGACUUGAUCCUUCAAACUCUGUUCUAUAUUGCAACAGAGCAGCUUGUUGGUUUAAGCUUGGGAUGUGGGAGCAUUCCAUUGAAGACUGCAAUCAGGCCCUAUGUAUUAAACCGAAUUACUCAAAAGCUCUUCUUCGAAGGGCUGCAUCAAACAGCAAGGUAAAUUGCAUAUUUAACUGGUUCAUGCAUUUCUCUUUUUCUGAAACAAAUUCACAACUUUUUAAUUUUGGCUUUUUUGUAUUACAGCUUGAAAGAUGGGUAGAUGCUGUUAGAGACUAUGAGGUUUUGAGGAGGGAGCUUCCUGAUGACAACGAAGUGGCUGAAUCAUUGUUUCAUGCUCAAGUUGCAUUGAAAAAAUCUCGUGGGGAAGAAGUGCAUAAUAUGAAGUUUGGGGGUGAAGUAGAAGAAAUAUUGGGUCUUGAGCAGUUCAGAGCUGCAAUAUGUUUACCAGGUAGGCCUUCAAAUUCGUACAUGCCUGUCACACGUUUACACUUGCAUCAUUGUACAAGUGCCUAAAGAUUUCAUAUUUCCAGGUGUCUCCGUGGUCCAUUUCAAAGCAGCAUCUGAUUUGCAAUGCAAGCAAAUAUCACCUUUUGUGGACACGCUCUGUGCCCGCUAUCCAUCCAUAAAUUUCCUCAAGGCAAGUUAUAGACACUUCCAUCGUAUCACUUUAAAUAUACUUUGCAUGCCUCGUUAUUUUUGCUGUUGUAUACUGGAUAUAAAGUUAUAUACUUAUGAUGGUGAUGCAUUGCAGGUUGACAUUGAAGAAACCCCAGCAGUUGCGAACAUUGAAAAUGUAAAGAUUGUACCAACAUUCAAGAUAUACAAACAUGGUAGCCGGGUGAAGGAAAUGGUGUGCCCCUGUCGUGAAAUGUUAGAACACUCGGUCAGGCAUUAUAGCUUUUAGAACUUAGAAAACUGUACUGUAAUUCUGCUUCAUCUCUGCUGUAUUUUUGCAUUUUUCUUGCUGCUUUCCAACCCCCAGUUCGAUAGGGAGCUCUUCCUCACAUCCCCUUCCAUUCAGCCUCCCCUGUCUAUUUACCAGCUACCUGUGCCAUAAUCAAUAUCACCAAAAAAUUCAGUUACCAGCCAAUGCCAUUGGGUUCCAGAGAAGUAGCUUAGUUCCUUUCUCAGUUUUCAUUUAUUCAUUCAUUCCUCAUUGCUCUCUGGUUCCAGUUCUUCCUCCUUUUUCCACCUCUCUCGUCGUCAUAUAAAAUGUAGGCUGGCCUGGAUACUGUUUACCCAGUUCCAGAAAAAAAAAUCCAUGUACAAUUGUUUAGUUCACCCUUGAGUGGGUUAGAGAGGUUGAGAGAGAGAGAGAGAAAGGGAGAGAGUGAGGGGGGUGAGAGAGGGUGAGUGAAGGAGUGGGAGGGAGAAAGAGAUGGCUGGCUGGUUGUAGAAGAGGAUUUGUACAUGUAUAUAUGUGAUAAUACAUGACAAAAAAAAGAAAAGAGAAUGGAAGUAUGGGAGGGGAUUAGAUGUCUGGUGGGUACUUACUGGGUUAGUGAAAGAAGAAUGUCUAUGAAUAUGUUACAUUAUUAUCAUCAUGAUGACUAUGAAUAUGUUGUUAUCAGAAUUAUCAUUCAACAAUAAAAAAAUUCUAGUUUCUUUUUCUCACUUGAUGUCUGCUUCUUCAAUCAAGUCUCCAGAGGAUGUUUCAUUUCCUAUUCACAGUUUUUUUUUUUUUAAUUUAAUUAAUUUAUUUAUUUAUUUUUAUUUUUCAAUCUCACUCAUUUCCUAUUCACCAGGAUGUAUUCUUGGUGAGAUCACAUUUUGUUUGGUCAAUUCGAAAAUGAGUGAGAUUUGCCUCCUCAGUUGUAACAUUUCUCUUAUGUCCUCGUGAACUAAACAGUUAUCAGCAUUGUUGACAAUGUGGGAAAGAUCCAUAUCUAUUUCAUUAUCUAUGGAAAAUGCUAUUAGGGGUAUUAUGCCGCAGGCGAAGUUCACUGAUUACAUCAGUUCAUCAGUUAGAGUCAACGAAGUUGUUACUGAAUACAUCAUUCUGCUUCUGAAUGCUGGUAAUGCUGUCAUCUCAAUGCAAAACUGUUAAAGAUUUCAUUUUCGCUAAACAGCUAUAGGGCACUUCAUAAUGCGUUAUGCCUAUCAUUCCAAAUCACAAACUACAUCAUCAAUGGUAAGUUGGAGACUUGGAGGUCACUAUAUAUGUGUUUUGGAAAGGUUUGGUUCAUUCUUCCGAAGUAGAAUUAUAUGACCAACAAGCUUGUCGAGAUGGGAGAGUAACACCGAUUUAGUUAUACAUGGAUAUUUGAUUAACUAGUGACUUUGUUCAUGUUUGCACACCGACAUGCAGAGAACCAUGGUCGGUGCUGACAAAAUUUCUGUUAUUGUUUCUUUCUGUAAAGGUUAAGUAAACAAUGGGGAGUGAUUAGGGGGAGAUCAGAUUCUAGGGUUUUGUUUAAUGGGAAAUGGUUGACAAGACAAUGUCUCUUCUGGGUGGGCAUUGGGAGAAAAGGCAAGUGUGUUUUAAAAUGAAUGAAUUAAGGGAAGUAGUCGGUGGUUGAGACUAUUGAAUGGAAUCAAUACUCUUCUUGCUUCAAAGCAAGCGUAGAUUCCUGUAGCAAGAAAGGGGGAGAGAAAAGCUCCCUAAGAGACCACACUCUUUACUCUUGCCAACCACUUGUGACCAAUUUGGUUGUCGAAUAGUGAUUGUGAAAGAGAGAUCAAUGCCCCCCUUUGGAGUUCAUCAUAUCACUAUGCAAUGUGUUUAUCAAAAGUUUUGAGCCUUCACAAAGCAACAUAUAACAUCUUGUAUUUCUCCUUUUAUUGCAAUUGAUUUUAGUUUUGAUAAUGAUACGAAUGUUUGAUUUUAGGUUGUUCAUAAUGUCACUAUAGACAUAUUGUGUGUGACCACUAAAUGACCUUACUUAUUCCCCUUUAGGGACGGCUUGCAUAUGUGACUCAAAGCCAGUUUUUAGAAUUAACAUGGGCUAAAUUUUAUUACUAGAGCUUGGCUGGCUAUUAGUAUAAAAAUGGUGGGAUGAAGGCUUAAUCAACCUUUAUAUUAUAGAAGAAACAAGAAAGCUGUACGGGUAUAGGGACGAGUGAUUCUUCAAUCCUCCGUCGCUUAGUGACUCGACGCACUGAGGGACGAGUUGGAGAUUUAUGCUUUUCGUUAUUAGUUUUUUCAGUCUUACAUUUGUAAGUGUGUAAUUAGGUUUGACUCUUAAUUAAUGAAAUAUUAAUUUCUCUCUAAAAAAAAAUUUAUAAUAAACUACGAAGUCUCAUAUUGGCAGCCAAUUUUAGAAAAGUCUAAAUUAUUACUGUUAAAAAUAAUGAUAAUGGUUGUGAUAGGGCCUCUUUUUCAACCUAGUUUGCUACUUUCUAAGAACCUUCAGAGGUGGCAUCUUGAGUGUUUUUGUUUUACUUACUCUUUUGAUGCAUAAAAUGGUACCAAGGUCCAAACUCUGCAAAGAGAAUCAGUUCUGGUCUUUGAUUUUGACAAAUUUUGAUAAGUUUGUUUGAGUUUUUGUUCGUUUUGGCAAAUGAAUGGUCCCUAGUACGAUCAUCAUUGUCUUAUCAGCAAACAUUCUUAUCAGUGUCACAAUAAUAAAGUUGGAUCGUCGUUAAUGUAUCUGUCUCUGUAACUUAACCGAUUCUACGAUUUACUUUCAUUUUGUAGUUUAGUGUUACGAACAUACUAUCUGAAUUAUGUUUCUUGUAUUAAGGAAAAAUAUAUCUUCUUUUAACUGCAGACAAUAUCUCUUCUCAACAAAAAAAAAAAAAAAAAAAAAAAAAAAAAAAAAACUAGUAGACAGUAUCUUUUUGACUCAUGUUUUUCAAUACAAGAAACAUAAUUCAGAUAGUAAGUUCAUAACACUAAGCUACAAGAUGAAAAAUAAUGUUAAAUUUGAGUAAUGAGCCAUCCAAAAAUGGCUUUAGGUCUUUAAUUUCGAACCUAAACAUUUCAUUCAGUUGAUUCCAGAAAUAUGCCUCUGCCAGAGUGACACUAAUUACUGUAAUUAGGACAUUUUUGGGAAUGGUCCGAGAGUGGGGUUUGCUCUUCAAUCUUGGCAUGUGGACAUUUAAGAAAGAAACAAGUACCCCAACUCAAUUCAGUCAUACUCAUAUACACAUACUUACAUAUAUAGACACCAAAUUGAUCAUCAUCAACUUCCAAAGUCCGGCCGGUAGAGCCACCCUGGCUGACGGCGACCACCUCCCAUCUGGGCUGAUGGCUACGUCUGUGAGGGCUGCCGUCGCAAUAAAUGAAUUCAAUUCCAUCCUGUCCGCUUCUUAGAACUUUCAGUUCAGUUCUUCCCAUGGACCAUUUCCAUGUUCAAACAAAGCUUGAUUGGCAUGGUGACAAAAUGAGCCCUUCUCCCUCCGCCUAAUAUCAUCAACAACCUAACAAAACGGAAUGUGAGACUGGUGGUCCAAGAUUUGAGAGGAUAGGUGGUUGUCCGCUGUUAAUCGAUGAAUUUCGCACGUCGAAGAUCGGAUUGCAUGCUCAUACGGGAGGCUGAAAUGGCUUGGAAGGGUUUGAACAUAACAUGAUCAAAAUGAACUAUUUGACAAGAGAAUAGAGGAAAUGAUGGGAAAGAAAGCACUACAAAUUACGAUAAUAGAUACAAUACUGUAAACCAAAAGUUACUAUUUAGUCAAGUGACAUAAGUUUUAUGUUCGUAAAUAAAAUAUAGACAGACAUUUUCAAUUGUUUAGUUGCGAGAACUUUUUUUGACAAACGGUAAACUUUAUAUUUGAUUAGUAGAACAAAUUUCAAAUGCUAAUUCAUGGAACGACUAUAUCUCAGAUCAAAGCUUAAGAAUACGAAAAUGUUCAUGCGACUUUGGGUCACCUACUCCUUGAGCUCUCGUUAUAUUCAAUACAUUGUUAAAAAGAGAUUCUCAAGACGGUCAACCAAGGAAGCUGUGUUUGAUUGACCAUGCAGUUCAUCAAAGAAGAAAGACCAGCAUGUUCACACGGGUCUCUGCUGGGUGCCCUAGUCGGUGCGUCACCGGCGGUCAAACGGCCGGCAGGGGGGGAGGUGACUGCUGAGAUGGGGCCAAUGCAUGAUGUGGUGUGAAGCAAACAGAGAAUCGAAUAUCAUUGUUUAUUUGCUCAGAAACAAAAAACAAAAGCAGAAGGGGAGGAUCGAGGUACUGAAAGACAGUACGUGAAAUGCUGAAGAGAUUAGAUUUGAAGGUAGCGGAUAGAUAGAUGGAUCUAGAUCGAUAGAUCCAAAACCACACAGAUGAGGGAGGUCACUGCCCUAAACGUGGCUGUGAGGCUCUUAACCUGCCUCUUCUAGUACGGCCUACUCAAACAGUGAAAACUCGUGCAGCAAGUUUCGUCAGAUUGGAUUCUCAUCUAUCAGGAACAAUGACACGUCGCUUUCUGGGGUUUUCAGACUUGGGUAAUUGUGUCUUCCCUUACCAUUUGUGGAGCUUACACAGUUACACAGAAAGAAGAUUUGGAUGUUACGUACAAGUGUACAACUCCAUUGCAGUUCAUCAUUGUUCUGUAAAUGAGAAACUGUAUCAAGAAAUGUAAAAUGAAACAAGAGGGCCAUACACCCUUUAACUAUGAUGACCCUCACCGAUAAUUAUAAUAAAAACAAAAACAAAAAAAAACCCACAUUGUGUUCAAGCUAAAGAAUCCCAAUCGGCAUCGUCAAAAACAGAGAGCAGUGGUUCUGUGCUCGAGACAUUCUUCACCACACAAGAGCAGCUUGAGGUUUGACAAUACUACUUUGGCAACGAAAUUAAACAAAUGAUCAGUCAUUUGAGAUUUGAAGGCCAACAGGUUACAAAGGUUGUAGUUCAAACAUGACUGCUCAUAUUGUAAACAUGGCUUAGGGUAUAGCUAGGUAUAUAUUAGGUCCUCUGCAAAAUCAUACACAGAAGUAAGCUCCUAAAUUAAUGAACUGAAAGAAGAUGCUGCUUUGUACUCAUGGUGUCUUUUAAUGCCAUGAGCUCCACCACUAUCGGUAUUUGAUCUGGUGAAGCAGUUGCAUAGGAAUUACACACAUUGAGAGGUUUCUUCAAAUCAAAUAAUUACAUUUAAAAGUCAAGAAAAGGAAAUUAACCGGCAAUUAUUCUCAGUGUUCACUUAAUACCAUAUUUUAUCUCCCCCGUCAUUUUGAAACGGGGGAGAUAAAAGUACCUUAGCUGAUCUUACAAGUUCAGAGCCAACAGAACUAUCAGAUGAGAACACUUAUCAGCCUGUAAUUGCUCGAGAAUUUAAAAUAUUUUGAAACAUCAAUUCUUCCAAAUUUUCAUGUGACAAUGACAUUGAAUAGCAUACAUUGCAAUAAGGUUAUUUGUGGGAAGGAUAACUUUCACCAUGUCAUCACACACCACUUGCAUAUAAACGGGUCCAUUCCUUGGCUGCAGGGAUUAGUGAAGAGAACAUUAGGCAGCAGUAUAACUAGAGCUAAUGUUUUUGAAAAAAGAAAAGAAAAAAGGGGUGUGUGUGUGUGUGUGUUGGGAGAGGUAAAACUAUAAGAGAGUUAUUAAGAUUACCUGUUUCAACAGCUUCCGCCUCAUUUGAUUUCCAAUGCUUAGCAAUGUUCUCCGAGAGUGGAUCAUCGGGAUUUGGAGCACUCAAAAGUGCUUGAAUACUAGCAGAAAAGAGACCAACAUUGGCAAUGAUUCAGUUCCAAUUUGAACUUCAAACAAAUAUACCCAAACACUAGUUACUGUUAUGAAAGCACAUUAUACAGAUAUUAAACAAAAAGUGUGUCGGGAUAAUUUGAGCCUGUGAUUCAAAUAGGUGUUUCUUAUGGAGACUAUGAUCUGAAAGGUAAUAGCUUUACCAUAAUUCAAAGACCAAGGCACAUUAAAUGAUGAUACCUUAGAAGAACAGUUCGUAUCUGGAGAGCAGGACUCCACUUGUCUUUCAAAAUGUCAAGGCAUAUCCUUCCCAGCUGUAUAAAAAAUGCACGCAUGGAACACAAAACAUUAAUUCUGAAUCGUUUAAAAGUAAGAGAGAGAGAAACAAAACGAGAAAGGUUGCCUACCUUGUCUAUGUUAGGAUGGUAAAUUUUAGUGAGAAACCGAACCUGUUGCAAGCCAAAAAAUUAGUUCUUGAUAGUGAAGAAUAUCAAGGGUGCUACACAACAUGAUUACGACUAAAAAGAAGGGAUGGAAAAUAUAAUGCAAGUGUAUUAUCUAGCUAUUGGCCAAAACUUAUAGAGGAAUUAAAUGUUCAUAUGGCAGGUACCACAGAGUUCUGCCAGGACUUUCGUGAUCCUUUUUUUCUAUUUUGUCCAAUAUAAUAUGAACAUUAGAAAAAUUUAAAUGACAGAUGGUUUAGAACUGCAAGGCCAAAAUCACAUCCUGAUGCAUUUGUAAAAUCAACACAAAAGAUCACAACAAUGACUCAGUUGGCCUAGGUGGCCUUUUAAUAGGUUGCAGUACCAUAUUGGUAUCCUAGAGAAGGGCUAGUAAACUAUCCAAUCCUGCUCAGCCAGUAGAGGUUUCACCAAUGUAAGCAUACCAGAAAUCAAAAGGGGUACUAGCACCAGUAAUUAUGUGCAACUUAUUUUUAGAUUAGUUUAAUCAAGUGAAAACAUCCAAAUAUAACUAUUAACCUUGUAAAAUUUCUAUCAGCAUCUGCACUCCCAAUAUUUUCAACUGAACUUAAAAUUCCAUCAUAUAUCAUGAACAAUUAACCGUUCUAAAGAGAGUGCCUGAUCAUUAAUCAUAUUUUUCCCUGAACAAUUUACAAAUGGCAUCAUAUACGCAAACACAGCUUUCCCCUUCUAACUACAAUAUUGAACUUCUUCAUUGUGGGUGACUAAGGAACUUCCUUUUCCGAUCCUAAUGAUCCACCUAGCAUGCAGUAACUAUGCAUAUCCCAGAUACUAUUUUCUCUAAACUUUAAGGACUACAUAUUACAGAGUAAUCAAUACUACUUCUGUAGAAACAUUCCACUUGGGUGAUGCAGGUAUGCCAUCAAAUUGCCCUGGACAUAGAUGAUAAAAAUGGAGAAAACACCCAGCUAAAAUUUCCAUUUAAAUAUUAGAACAGUGCACAUGUGAAGCCAUAAUUAGAAGGUUUAUCCACUGCAAUUCAAUUUAACUGUCCCUGAAUCUUUGAAACCAUUUAAUAAAAAAGGUACUUAUCAUAUAUCCAAGGACGAGCAACAGUUGUGCAGAGCCAACCACCAUCAUACAAGAAAGCAAUAUAGCCUUGGCACAGAUAAAGUGACAUCAAAUCAAAUUACCUUAGGAGCAGCCAUUGGAUAUUCUUCAGGUAAAAAUAGUUCCAACUUGAAAACUCCACCUGAAUUUUUUUUUUUCUAAAAGAAGUGAAUAUACAACACCAUGAUAAAGUCUGCAAUCAUAUUCCAGACAGAAAAAGAAACCAAUCAAUAAGAAAUAUCACAGUUGUAAAACUGACACCUUCAUGAACAUCUCAACUAAAAAUAAUAACAAUCUUGCUAUAUGUAAUCAACAUAAAGUAUCAGUAAGCUAUCAACACUCUCAUUCUAUCUCACAAGCUCAACCCAAAAGAAAGGUAGACUGUCUUAAUAAAGAUAUACAAGCAAUUUGCUGUAGAGUAAAACACACAUCUGCUGGCCUUUUUACUUGGCAACUAAAGGCUGUCGUCAAUCAUCUACGACCCGGCUAUAAGACUAUAGAACUAUUACUCAAGUCAUUGUCAUACUCUGAAAAGCUAACAAACUCAUAGGAGAUAGAUCAGUUUUACAUAAACUGACUACAAUUCUGAAUUCUCACUGAGUCAACGAUAUACACUCUUCCACAGGGUGAUCAAAAAACUCUCCCCAAGCAUAGAUGAUUGCUAGAACAUCUCUCCAAAUAGCCUGCCUACCUGGGAAAUCACUAACCAUCCCUCCUGACUGACAUCCAAAAGCAUUCCUAUUUGUAGACAGGAAACUCUAGGUCUCCUUUAUAAUAAGGUUCCUCCAAUCCCCUAAUACGCUAUGGGAAACAAAAUGAUGAGAAUAUGCAGUCGUUACUUGGUCCAAAGACAUAAUAUCUGAAUAUAGUUCAAUCAUUUGCUUUACGGUAACUAAUUUUUUUUUUUUUUUUGAGAGUAUCAAUGACGGUAACAAUUGACCUAAAAUGAAAGAGAGAGUUGAAUAUGCCUACACAACAAAAAUGAUCCCACAAACUAGACUGCCACAUCAAAGUAUAAAUCUAUUGACAUGAUACUUAUUCCAUACACGAGUAAAGAGAAACCUCGAAGCAAGAAUACCUUGAGUGAUACUUAAUCAUAGUCUACAGAGCUCAAUGAAAUGCUCCAACUUGAUAACACAUUCUACUUAAAUCCAACUUUAUUAAACACAUUCAUUUAUGCAAAGCCCACUUUCACAGAAAAAGAAGAAGAAGCAGAUCAUAGAUUUCCAGCAUCAUAAAUACAUGCACUCACUGAUCAAAUGAAUAUGGAAAAGCUUCCUCAGAUCACAGUUACCAUCAAGCCUUUACACCUUAACUAGAGCUGAAUCUCUCAAAUUCAUUAACAUAACUACCUCCCUAAAAGUCGCAAUUAUGAACACACCAUAGGAUAAACCCAAAAUCUCAUUAUAAAACCACAACAUUAACACACUAGAAAUGAAGUCCAGUGAUUUAUACCUUCAUAAGGAGACUGAGUGGGGCCAAGGAUCAUCACAUUGAAAUAGCGCAUGUUAUCUUCCGACGGUGAAGCACUAAUCCCAGGAGCUGUAAAAUCACAACACAGUAAAUCAAAAUCAAACUAAACCCACAAAUCCCCAUACAACAAAAAAAAAACAACCAAAAGCUCAAUUAUUUGUACUACAUCUAACCAAAGAAAACAAACUAAUCAAAAGCUCAAUUCAACAUUCCAGCUACACAAAAGAUCAAAGACUGAAGCACUAACCGGGUUCACUAAGAAGACGCUGAGUUUCCUGCAAGAAUUAACCGAAAAAAAAAAAAAAAUUAAAACCAAAAAUCGAAAAUUCAAAGCUGGGCGAAGAAACCCUAAUAAGAUCGAAACUUUCGGAGCAUAAAUUCUAGUGUAAGCAUGCAUAAUGAAAUUGGGGAAGCAAAAACUGAGUCUUUGAAAUUCAGGGUUUUGAGAAAAGUGAAGUAGAGUGAUCGGAGGGGAAAAUUCAGAGAGGGAUCGCGAAGCGAACCUUGAUGAUCCGCCGGGGAAGGUUACUGUUCGCCAUUCCAAGGUCGAUUGCAGACUACGCAAUGAGGGUUUUGCAGAGAGAGAAGAGAGAGAGAACGGUGCGUUUUCGCUAUUACACAAAAUAAAGCAUAUAUGCAAUUCUCGAUUUUUGGGGUCGAGAGGCACUUUUAGACUUGGAGAAUAAUUUUCCUUUUUCUUUCCUUCUGCAUAUUGGUUUCUACUUUCUAGUUUGUUAUUUAUUUAUUUAUUUUUUUUUGAAAAAUCUCAUUGCGACUUUCAUUAUUCAAACUCAAAACGCGUAGGUCAGAAGCCGUUACAUACCAUGUCGUUACCAUCUAUAGAUAGACAAGAAGUUAUGAGGCCAAACUCAUAUUAUCAGUAUAUAAGAUGGACUACAUAUUAAUCGUAAUCACUCAUAGUCUUUAAGGCAUAAAAAAAAUAGCUAGAUCUAGCCCCCCUCGAUAAAAUAGACCAAACUCCGGAGUCCACCAAACCCGCCUGUCCUAACCCACCAUCGCCAACGACAUGUCACACACCCAAACCUAGCGCCUGCACCAAACGCACUCAGCCUCGACUCAUGCUGCUUUGAUCUCCGUCAUCGUGACCUCCGCCGCUUCGGACCUCAAUCUCUGCACUGCUUGUCGUCGCUACUUACCCAGGAAUCCAUCGCUGGUCUAAAUCCACACAAGCACACUGCCAACAGAGAGGAUGCUAGAGAAUAAGCUGACUUAGGAACAAACUCAAGCGAGGCUACCAUAGCAUACCCUUAAAGCACCUUGGAUCAUAAGCACCUUGGGGAAGUAUUUCAUAACAAAUAAAAUAAGAGAAAUGAAAGAGAAAAACGUUAGUGUAUCCUGCAUUUCCUGCGCCUCUACAUAUGUGUUUAAUGUUAACCAUUCUUAAUGACUGAUUUAUUUAUUUUUUCCAACGGAUAAUGAAUCGAGGGUUGAGGAGUUGUGCAGUAUAAGUACAUCAAAUCACUAGUAGAUAAGCUAACAAUUUUGAGAGGGCAUACACACUAAUCUCUUUGUAAGUUCUUCUUUCUUUUCAUUUUUUUCAAGUGGAAGCUAUUAAAUUCGAUUUCAAAUACGAAGUCGGUGUUAUGGCAUACUUGAAUGUCUAACAAGUUUGUACACUAAAAAGGAAGUAGUACAAGGCAAAGAGGAAAAUGCACCGCCGGCACCCCACCUUUUGUGGCACGGUCAAAGCGGUACCCAUACUUUAAAAACUAUCAAUGUGGUACCCAAACUUCUAUUUCGCUACCAAGGAAAGGCCUGAGGCCAAUUUCCGUAACUGUGCCGUUAGUUUGCUGACGUGGCCGGCAUAGGGCCCACCAAAAAAAGGUGCAAUGACAAAAAUAACCUUCUAAUUCUUCAGAACUGUUUUCCCUCCAAAAUCUUUAAAAUUGAAUCUUGGGUUUUCAUUCUAGGUAUCACAUUGAUCAGUUCAAUAAAGUUUAGGUAUCACAUUGAUCAGUUCAGUAGCGUUUAGGCACUGCUGUUAUGUUUAUCUGUUGACAAUAAAUACUAUGCAAUAGCUGAAAAUGUAACAUAAAAAUUCAAACAUAGAACCAAAAAGAGCUGUCAAUAUCACUGAAUUAAAACCAUUAAAACCAACAUCAGUUCAACACGAGAAACAUACUAUGCUUUAGAAUUCAAGCUUUAUUAGUUUCCAAAAACUCAAGGAACCAGAUUGUAUGUAAAAAAUUGAUUCCAAAACAUGAUGAAGUACACAUUAUGUUUCUCUAAUAUAAAAGUCAGCACAUUCACUUUCUUUAGCACCCCUUGCUCCAUGAUUUUAGCUACUUUGGGUAGGAGGUUGUGUUGAGGCCGGCUGAUGCAUUACCAUUUCCAGCAGAACUACCCUCCAUUGCCAACUUCAUUUUUUUCCAUCUCUUUAUAGACUUUAUGACCUGGUCCUUGAUAGGUUUUGAUUCCUUGGGUGGGGCUGGUGCCCUUUACACCUGUGGAACACAAACAAGACAUUUCCAACACAAUUCAACAACCACAUUUGGUUCACAAUUCAACAAGACAUUUCCAACACAAUUAAACUUCUAGCAACUGAACAUAACCACUCCAAUGUUUCAAAAAGGAAACACAUAAAACUUGCAACUUAAGUAGCUAAAUUAGAUUACCACAAUGACGGCUAACAGAAGAUAACAAAUAAAAAAAGUUCUACACUACUAAUGUUCAGCCAACUUUAAGCAUACCAAAACCUUCAUCUCUAACUUCAAUUUGAGAAACAAAUUACAUGUAUAAGAACCUUAUAGUCUAAUGUAUAUAUCUAUAUAAUAUCAUAUCAAAAAGAGUAAGAAUCAUAGGCAAACACUAAGACUAAAAGCAAAGGUACAAAAUCAGAAAAAUGACUAACUGAAAUUCUUGAGAAAAGUUAAUCCUCCAAUGAACAAGAGUACAUCAAAACUCAGAAACAAAAAAAGAAAAAGAAGAGAUGAUCAUGAUUCAAGCAAACUCAUGAAGCAAAAUCUGAAUUGCUUGAGAAAAGUUAAUCCUAGUCACUGAGCACAAAGAGUAGCAAGUAAAGUAAAUAGUAGUCAAGUAAAGUCCAGUUUUAAGUAAAAGACACAGACAUCAAGACAUAUGAAAUGAAAAAUAGACUCAAGCAUAGCGAUACCAAAUUUUAUUUGCAAGGAGAUAACAUUUUAUUGAAGUAAAGAAUUUAUUUGCUAAGAUCAAAUUCUAUCAAGUGAAGAAGAUAACAAAGAGUGGAGCUAUCUUUAUAUGCUUAAAAACUGUUCAGUACAACUGAUCAUCAAAAGUAACUUCACUUUGAGAAAUAAAUAUCAAGAAUUGAGAUUCUUUAACACCAUAGAGAAUGCAGCAAAGAUAGUAAAGCAUAAGACUUUAAGUAUCAAAUGAAAGAUGGCCAUAGGGUAUUCAGAACUCAUUAUAAGGAAUAAGGGGUUUAACAUAGAAGGACACGAUGCAUGACAAGUUCAUGUAAAGAGGAUGGCAAGAGCUGUUGUACGUAAGAGAACUAAUUUCAAAAGCAACUGAACAAGAAUUGAUAUCAAACAUGGAUAUGGAUAGGUUGCUGCUAGUAUAUUUUAUAUAUAACUCAAAGACAUAACUCAAGUCAAGUUACAAGACCAUGAGUGAUCGAUAUGAAUAGAAAUAAGCCAUGCUCGAGUACUUUCUGAAGGACUAAACCAGAUUUCUAGCUUCAGAAACAAGAACAUAUACUGAUUAUAUCAAAACAAAGAAACUCAAGGUAAUAUAUUUGAGUACUCAAAACGUGAACUACACUUCAUAAAAUCCUGAAGGCAAGUUCCAAGUUUCAGCUAUUCAAAUUGCUAAAGUCACAGCUAUUCCUAGUGAGCUAACUGCUCAGAUAUGAACAGAGACUAUAAACUUCACAGACUAACAGAUAUAUCUGAAGCUCAAGUAACGAAAACGAAGUUGAAGCUACGAAUCGAGCACAAUUUGACCAGAAAAAUCAACUAUUUGAGCUUAACUACACAAAUUGAACUAAUCAAACUAAGAGAGCAUCUAAUCAGAGCUGAGAACUAACCGUCAACAAAUCCUUCAUGGUGAUCGGAGUGUUAGCCGCUUCCAUGGUUGUGCAAAUCGAUGGCUCAGAACCGACGGCUCAGAUCUACAGCUGGUUGCGAAUCCAGUAAGAAAGAUAGAGAAACGGAGAGGCGCGAGCGCUUCGAACAUUGCGGUGGGGAUUCGAAGCGAGUUGAGAUCUGGAACCAGCAGAACGAAAGGCCUCUCUGGUGGCAUGUGCAUGUUUUAUGGCUCCGUGCAACUGUCUAUGGCGCCCUCAUAAUCCACCCAAGAUCCCCUCGAUCCUACCCCUUCCCUACACCCUUCCAGGACGUACCGAUUAUGUUAGGUAAGUAGUCGAUUAACUGAUCCUUAAUUUUCUUCAAGGAGAGUCUCUGGAAAGCGAACAAGGGAGGGAGGGAGAGAGAGAUGAGAGAGAUCUAAGAAAGAAAAAGAGGGUAAGAAUAAGGGGGGAAGGGGGAAAUCAAGUUUUGAUUCAAUUAGGGAUUAGGGUGUCGUCUGUGUAAAAUGUCAUUUUUACCCUUUUUUGGGUGGACCCGAUACUGGCCAUGUCAGCAAAUAGACGGCACCGUGACGGAAAUUGGCCUCAGAUCUUUCCUUGGUAGCAAAAACAAAGUUUGGGUAUCACAUUGAUAGUUUUUAAAGUCUGGAUACCACUUUGACCGUGCCACAAAAGUUGGGGUACCAGUGCUUUCAAAACUUCUUAGGCAAACUCAAUAUCACAUCAAUCAGAUCUUUGUGUGACGGCUGAUGGGUAUUAAGGUUCGCAAAACGGGCCAAGACCAGUAUAUUCAACUAGUUGAUGUCUAGUUUACAUGAUUCACCCAAGAACCCCAACUAAAGCCAAUUAUUUGAAACCUAACUUAAUUUGUGGUUAAAAUCGGAGCCAAACAUAUUGAGUUGUCAAAUACCCCUAAUUAAUCCCAAACAUAUCAUACGUGCAGGUUGUUAAUUGCAAAUACAAAAACAUAUAAUUAUUAUAGAAACUUUCAGCAUAAGGUUUCUGUAAUCUGUAUGAUCAAAACUGAAAUGGUAAAGAGGUACUGCAUACUUCCCUCAGAUUAUAUGUAAAUAGUUCACAUUAUGCAUGAUACUUUUGACACGAUCAGUUCUCGAAUUUUUUCUUAAAUUCGUCUGGCAUGUCUUCUGGGAAUAAUUCCUCAAUAACUUCUUUGCACUCGUCACUAAUUUCUUUCUUCAUGAACCCAAGAGGGUUGGCAUAACGAGCCUGAUCAGAUUGAAUGCCAUUCUUUUUUGUGAUCAAAACUCUAGCUCUUUCAAUGGCGUCAAAUUUUUCAUUGCAAUCAUCUGUAUUGCUUUUAAUCGCUGUCACCUCACAUAUCUGUUCUUGGAAGUCUUCAUUCACAAAAAGCUUAUAGGAUCCAUUGUCAUCGGUUGUUGCAUCGUCGGUGUAGAUGACAGUUUCAUUUUCGCGACUUCUGCAUUCCAGUCUUACUAAAGCACCUGCGUGCAUGAAUCAAAAUGUCAUUUACGCAACCAGUUUCAUGUGUUUAUCAACAUUUUAUCGAAACUCGUAACAAACUGAUAAUGUAAUGAGAAUAAUGAUCAGAGUCAUUAAUACAAUUUAGUCAAAGAGUCACUAAUAUGAUUGAUUCAUUGUUCUAUAGUGCACAUGAACCCAAAUUCAUAUAUGUCUACGGAAAAUUCUCAUUAUAGAUUCAAAAUAGUUGAAAAGAAUAAAUAGACUAGCUAGGGUGACAUACCGGAUAUCCGUUUACUGACUCUGGUUGGGAACUGAACACGGCAUGGGUCACAAUAUACAUAACCCUCAACAGUGAUGCUGGUUUUGUCGCCUCCAUUGUCACCGUCGGCAUAGGCCAAAGACAACAAGCAUGACAAGGUGAGAAAAACUGCAACGAUUUCCAAGUUCUUCGCCAUUAUUCUUCUCUCGCUAAUUGUAUGUGUUUCUCUUCUCUGUUGGUCUUUUCUUGAUGUUUCUUCCUUUCCUUGAUUAGUGCAGUAAGUUUAUUUAGCUGCAAGAAAUAAUGGAAUUGAUUAACAUCAUGUGGUAAUAAUUGGCAUGGUCAGAAUUUCACGGCGAGUUGUUUGUUCUACGCUUGUAAUAGCAUAUCCUAAUUAUAAUGUGUUGCCUUGGUUUGCCAUUUUAUUAAGGGUUACAAAAUGUUCCAUUUCAAUAUUUUUAGCCAACAAAUUCUCUCUCUUUUUUUAGAAGUGUUUGUAUGGAAUCUAAAAGUACAUAGAACGAUGUAAAAACAUAAAAGGAAAGCGAUAAAACAAAAACAAAAUGCACAUACGCAUCUAAAAUAAAAAAUGAUAAAGAAUAGCAAGAUCCACAAACACAUCAAGAAUAAUAGGUAACCAAGUGACUUGAUGUCGCAAGACAUCGCGCCACUGCACAUGUCACGAAAGCAGUGUAAAGAUAAAAUUGAUCAUAACCGUAACCAUAACCAAUGAAACAAUCACCUAGGAGUGAAUCGCUCAUCAAGAGUUCGAAAAUAAAUGAGGGUGUAAAAAACUCGAAAAUUAGCAAUUGAACUCGAUCCCAAAAACCAGAACCAAUGCCAUAUCCAUAUAAGCAGCUGAGUCAGAUCUUUUAUGCCACCUUGAUCCCAUAUAUGUCAUUUUUCCAGAUUAGGUUUAUCGGACCCGAUUUGGCUACGCCUCUGAUCUUGGGUGCAACAAGGAGUGAUAUGGGUUUGUUUGGACCCGGUCGGAGCGGCCGAGCAUGGACAGUGGUGAACCGACGACUCUACGGGCGCGGUGAUGGCUCGGCGCGACUGUCGACUUGGUUUCCUUAUAUUUCCUGUGUAGCUUGGGCUUGGGCCCUCUUUGGCCCAAUCUGGGAUGGUAUCUUAAUUUCUGUUUUUUGUUUGAUUUACGUUUGUUGUCUAGGUGGUUUUAUGCCGUUAAUAAGCCCUUUUGCGAUAGUGCGAUGUGGGCUAUGUCCUGGUAAGCGCACGCAACAUACUAUGACUGCUUUACUGAGGUAGCGAGUUCAUUGCUUAGUCAAAUGGUCGCAGCCUUCUUACGGCAGAGUGAAAUCUUCGCAUAAUAGGAAAACGGAUAUACAUAGUCUUUUAUGACCCCAUAUGAGUUUUAGCUUUCCAUUAUGUCGCCAUGUUUUAUGCAAAGUAAAUAGAGUUGUCAAUGAUGCAAUCUUUGUUAAAUGGUUCUUGCUUGAAUGCAUAGGUUGUGUAGGGUCUCCUAAUAUUAUUUUUAGGUGUUCUUACACUAUGGUAUAUGUUUUAUGUCCCCCCUUAUAUUCUGCGGUUUUAUCAACAGUAACAGCGUGAGGGCUGCCUUUUAGCCCUUAGAUUCAAUAUAUAUAUAUAUAGUCUGUUUCUGGUGCGGACGUCCGUACGGGUUUUCCGUACUGAUUUCCGCCGUUUCUCCAUCAUUCCAGCGCCGGCAACACCGUUUUUUCUCCCCGGCGUGAUCCCAAACCUCCCCCGACGGUGUUGGAAUGAAGAAAAAGGCCGGAGAGAUUGCGAUCGGAGGUCUGUGCAGCAAUCUCACUCAGAACUUCACGACAGAUCAUGGUGGACCUCCGAUCGUGAUCUCUCCAGCCUUCUUCUUCAUUCUAACACCGUCGGGAGAGGUCUAAGAUCAAGUCAGGGAGAAGAAACAACGUCGCCGGUGCUGGAAUGGUGGAGAAACAGCGGAAAUCCGUACCGAAAACCCGUCGAACGUCCGCACCUGAUAANCCUUCUAUAUAUAUAUAUAUAUAUAUAUAUAUAUAUAUAUAUGUGUGUGUGUGUGUGUGUCAUUUUUCAUGUCAGUUGAUGUCUGGUUGACAUCAUUCAAACAAUAAAUCUAGACUUUUAAACGUUUUUAAAUCUAAUGGCUCACAAGUUGUAUAAAAAUUUGUGUAAAAUAUGGUGGUCCUUAAACCUGACCCUUCUUUAUAAAAAGAAAAUCAAACUUUGAGAAUUUUGAAAAAUUCUACGGUUAUGAAAAGUAUAAGAAGAACAAUAGUACAUAGAACAAACGCCCGAAGAAAAACAUGUAAGAACUCAUGACUCAUAAUCCGUAGAACAAGAUCAUAUUCUCCAGCAACAUGCUCUUAAACGGGAAUGAAAACAAGGGUGGGUUAAGAUAUGCUACACCCCACCUCAGUUUUUUGAUGGUGAAAUCUAUUAUACUGUAUAUACAUUUGACUAAAAUAUAUUUGAUUCUCAAAGGAUCAAGACGAUCCUAAUGCUAGGUUUUUUUUUUUUUUUUUUUCCAAAAAUGAGAUCCUAAUGUAGUUGAACCUCAUGACUAAAUAUUAAGGGAAAAGCCCAUUUGGUCAAAAACAGCAAAAAUAAACCUCAUUCCAAUGAAAAUCUUAUCAUUAUGCCCAUUCUAAUUAUUCUUAAGACAAAAACGCUAUUACCUUGUCUUUUUGUAACUACACCCACACAAAUCUCAUCUCUUUCUCCAUCUCUUCUAUCUUGAUAUGCUUCUCUCUCUCUCUCUCACCAUCAUUGCCCGCCAUUCUCAUCCUCAGAUUCUAAAGCCUCAUAGCCGCCACCGCAGCAGGCGACGAUCACCAUAGCCUCGAUGUCCUCCUCCUCCGUUGGAGCCUCCACGUCAGUAACAACAUCAUCAGAUAUCAACUAGCAUCGUCAACGUCGUCCGUCGUCGGAGCUCUCGAUCGUCAACCUCAUCACCAUAAAACUGUUGUGUAUGAACGUACCUCUUCAUCUCUUCAAGCCCCUGUGCGAUCAAGUCGGGUCGUCGGUGGCGAGGGUUUUGACCAGAGAUGAACACCCAGCCGAUCUAGUUUUAGAUCUAUGGUUAAGCAUUAUAAUGCUUUGUUCAUAGAGUCCUUUGUUGGAUACAAGAAGGAGGACAACUCGUGGAGGGAGGAGAAAGCUAGAGGUUAAGCAAAUGAUACAUGAUACUAGAGGAGGAUUGCAACGUGGCCAAGGAUUUCAAGGUAGGAUCUGAUCCUUCUUUGUAAAUUGUGGUUGUUGUUGGUCUGGAGGUUAAAUUGGUGUUGUGGUUGGAGAACAAGAGAAGGGGAGGAGUAGUCUUGCUACCUAAUUUCACUUUGGGUGUAGAGAGGAAUUCAUGUGAUAAAGGUGAGAUCUAAAGGCUUUUUUGUUUUGUUUGCGAAGGUGAAGAAGCCUUUUCAGCUGUAAAGUUUCUUUUUUACUACCUCAGUAAUAUCUUAUUGCCCCCCCCAGUAAUUUCUUAUUACCACUAUCUUCUUCGUUUUUUUUCCCUAGAAGAAGUUUAAUGCCCCCCCCCAGUAAAAUCUUAGUAGAAGUUUAUUGCCCCUAGUAAAACAUUUUUCAUCACUACUGCCCCUCAAUCUUCGUUUUUUUGCUCCCAGUAGAAGUUUACUGCCUCCAAUAAAAUCUCAAUAGGAGUUUAUUGCCUCCCAGUAAAACAUUUUCAUCAUAACUACGCCUUAAUUAAAUUUUAGCGAUUGUGCGAUACACUUCCGGCAAGGUCCGGCAGAUCCUGGUGACAUUUAAAAAAAAAAAUCAGGCUAGAUUCUGGUAACAUUUUAAAAAAAUCGGGCGAGAUUCCGGUGACCAGCAAGAUUGUGGUCACUGGCGACUGGAGUCCCGUGGCCAGUGAGGUUCUGGCCAAAUCUUCUCUCUUUUCCAUUUUCUCUCUCUAUGCAUGUUUAAGGGGUGAGGGCAAAAUAGUCAUAAAAUAAUAUUGUUUGUUAAGACUUUAAGUAAAGAUUUGUUCAUUUGGGCAUAAAUAGAGAUACCUUAUAUUGGAAUAGGCUUUUCAAAAAGAUUGUGAUUAAAAUGAGCAAUGAAGGGUUAAAAUUAGUACUAAAUGACAUUAAUAAUGUUUUAUUGUUAAUUGAUCACAUCUCUAUCACCACGUAAUUACUAGAGUCUGUAGAACAAGAUUAUGCACAAAUAACUCUAUACUGUAUAGUGUGAGUGUGGCAAAUGAGUGAAGCACAUUUCUAUUUGAGCUUAUAAACUGUUGAAGAAUUAUGAUAAUGACAAAAUCCUUAUUUAUUUUUUGUUGGAUUUUGUGUCGUAAGUCAGAGAUGAAUGAUGAGUCACCCUUUUAUCAUUGUAGCACAAUAAGAGCAAGUUCACCCGUUGAGUUAGAAUGAACAUAGUGACCUGGGUCACUCUGGGUUAUUGUGACUAGGCAGCAGUUUCCACCCGUCAAAGAUGUGAGAUUGUUAAUGAUUGUUUAUUGAAUUUUCAAAAACAUUUGUAAAUAUGAAUAAUGGUUUUUAGGAAUGUGUAUGGUGCGUCUAUUGCCACCCCACAAACCAUUUUGUUCACCCCCGCAUUCUUUUCACAUCCCACUUACAUAAUUUUAAUUGUAAGUAUACUUUAUUCACCCAUUAACAAUACCUAAAAAACCUUUUUUUCAAUUCUAUUUUGUUCACCCUACAUUCUUUUCAUAUAUUUUGUAAACUUUAGAUUUGUUUAAGGUAAGUAAAAUCACCAAGUGAACAAAAAUUCACAUUAAAGUAUAAAUCCAAGUUAAAGAACAAGAAAAAACUCUCAAAUUUAACAACUCAAUGGUAUCAAUCGAUAUCAAGAUGCACAAUGUCUGUAAAUGUAUCUCUAGUAGCAACGUCUUCCAUACUUCUAAGUUUUUUGAACUGAUCUAUCUGUUGUUUAUAAAUACGGUAUAAUAGUUGUCCAUGAAAAUUUACAUACAAAGUCGACAUAAGAAAUAAUGAGUAAAGAGAUAGACGAAUCAUCAAUAAAGAAAAAAAAAAUACAAACAGUUUACCUCAUCUUUAGGUUAAAUGUUAGUGUCUUCAGAUUUACGACCGAAUAUGAUAAAUAUGGGUUAGAGUUAUGAAAUUUGUGUUCAUCUAAAACAAAAAGACAAAAAAGAAAAAAAAAUUUGUAAUUUGUAAUUUGUAACAACUUAUUGUCCCUUACAUUUGGAUAUUUUAGUAUUUCAAUAAAUCAAUAACGUGCAGGGUGAACAAAGUGGUUUAUGGAGUGGCAAUAGACGCACCCUAUAAAUAUUAAAAUAUUAGGGUAGAUAUUAAUGCAAAAUAUACGGCAUAAUGUAAAAAAGAGGUUUACUUUAUUGCAAAUAAUUAGGGUUUUAUACAAAGAAGGGUGUUUAUAUAAAAUUUACAAUGACAUAAACACUAUGACAUAUGAAAUUAAUAAAUUUAUGCGAAACCUAGAAUAAAUUUACACAAAAUGUUUUUAUAAUUCUUUUUUGGCCAAUGGUAUUUUUAUAUCAUUUUCUGAUUUUUUUCAUAAAUCUUUCCAUAAUACAUAUUUAAAAGAAAUUGGCUAUUAAAUAUAAGCCUUUAGAUUAAAAAUAUAAUUGAAACCAACGGCCAGAUUAAAGGACCAUUGAUUUAAAAAUUUUAAAAGAAACCCAACAACCUUUUGGCACAUGGUUGCUGACACAUAAUGUCACAUCGCGACAAAAGAUUGCCUCCCACGCAGGAAAGUUUGCAUCUGAUUGGUCCGUGAGAGAGACGUUAUCUGGCUAUCUGCAGGCUCGUCGAAGAGAGGGAGGCUGGCCGCUGACGUUAGUAACGUGUGUGGGCUUGGGCUAAGGUGGAAGAAACUCACCUGGGCUAGAUUGCUCCUCUCGCCUGGGUCAGUUUGCUCCCCUUCUAUUUAAUCUGGGUUGAAUUGAGGGGAUAUCCCAUAUAUGGGUGGAAGAUGAGUUUUUCUUCUUGGGUUGGAUUGCCUAUGUGUCAACUAACCUAGGUUGAAUUUUUUUCAAUGGGUGGACUUGCUCUAAGGAUUAAUACGUUGCAGCAAUCACUUGAGAAAAUUACAUAGUAGCACAUGACCAAAUUUAAAAACACAAAAAUCUCACUUUCAUUAAUUUUUAUACAGUUUAGGAGUUAGGACAUAAGCACAAGCCCAAAACUAAGAGCAUCAAGUCUGAUCCAAAUUUUAGCUAUCAAAUGACCAUAACACCUAGGGCUGGACAUGGGACGGGAUUAGGGUUAUCCCACGGCCCGUCCCUAAUCCCGUCUUGCACAUUGCACACGGGACGGGAUUAGGACGGGUCUUACGUUUUUAAGACUUGAUCAUGCAAGUCCCGUCCCAGACGAGACCGGGACGGGACGGGCCCAAUCUCGCCAUCUCGGCCCAAUAUCAAAAGUCCAAACUAGAAAAUAAAGAAAAAGAAAUUUGAUGACCUGACAGAGAUACACAUAUAUAACCUAGUUCUACAACAAUUAGAUAAUUACUCAAUUAUAUAACUUGAGUACCUGAUAGUGAUACCAAUAAAGAUUACAUAAUCUGAAUCCAUAAUCUAUAACUAGAAUUAAACUAGAGUAACAAUACAAGUUGCUCCAAGGUGCUCCAAAUACAAACAAUUUCAAAUCGAAUCAUCGAUGACAAUACCAACCACGACUAGUGCUGCUUCUACUUGUGAUAGUGCUAGAUAAAGAGGUUGAAGAUUGCGGCCUUUGCAUGUGUAUACCUCCAUCAACAUGAACCACAUACUAAGAAAAAAAAAUGCAGAAAUUGAAGAUUAGAUAUAUACAAAAUGGAAACAUCUCACUUAGAAAAGAGUUGUCUUAUGCUAAAGCAGGUUACUUAAAAACAAAUAUAUACAAACACUAGAAAGUAGAAACUAUUCAUAAAUAUAAGAUCAAUUCUUUAUGCUUGGUUUAUGUAAACCUCAGUAGGGAUCUAACUCAUGAGUACUCAUAUGCAGCUGGAUAUCUAAGAACUUCACAAGAACAGCUACAAUAUGAUCACAUUAAAUAUACAUAAAUCUGAUCACAGCUGGAUAAAGUAUACAUAAAUCCUAAUACAACAAGAACAACUACGAUCUGAUCGCAUUAACCUGUUACCGAUUCAUUCUUUUUAAGAGAAUGUAUAAUAAGAUCAUAUAUGAAGUACUUAUUUUGAGAGAACAAAAUGUAUAAUAAGAUCAUGAAGUACUUAUUUUGAGAUAAGAACCAGACACACACGUUAGAUAAUGAAUAAGACUACACAACCUAACAACAAAUGCAACAGUAAUAGAUUGGAUAUAUGCAACCAAAAAAAUAGUUAAAAAGUGUAAAAUACAUGAUCAUAGAGAGCCAUAAGCAAGUGUUUAAUCUCCUUUGUUCUCCUCUGCAUUCAGCCAUUCACAAUAAACUUAUUCAACUUUAUAGAUAAUCAAGCAAGAAGUGAAGCUUUUUUGAAUACACAUGUUCAAUAAACACAUAUAGAUAAUCACAUACAGCUAAUUACUAGUACCCAAUAGCCUCACCUUGACUUUCUUCAUCCCCAGAAACAUAAAAAGAUUUAUACAAAUUGGGUCGAUUAAAUUGAAACAAAAAAUCUAGCAUUACAUUCAUAACUUGAAAAUACAUAAUCCAAAUGUGGCCGAACGCAUAGCACAUAUAUAGAUUUCAUCGAAAAACAUAUAAUACAGAUAUAACGAAUAAAGAAAAAAUGAUCUUGCCUGACGUUAAUGAGAGAAAGAAUUGGGUUUUGCUAUGAAAAUUGGAGAAGCUGCCACAUAUAGCUAAAAAGGUUUUGGAAUCUAUCUAGUUUGUCAUGAUAGUCAGAGUUACAUAGUAUGAGUUUCUCUAUGUGUUUCUAGAUUCUAUCUGCCUUCUUUGGCUUUUUGCGUUCUGCAGCAUGAAUGCCGAGGCGAGGAGGAAUCGGGCGGUGAGGUUAGUGGAGGCAGUGGAGGAGUUCAAGGAGGACUUCGGCGAGGCGGCAAGUAGUGGGAUAGUCGAAGAUGCCGUUUGAUAUAGAGUGGGAUUGAGGUUUCGUUGGAUUGGAAUUUCAAGUAGGCAUCAUCGAUUGAGGUUUUGAGGUUUGGUUGGAUUGGGAUUUAGGGUUUGCGUGACUUCACGUUUUAGGAUGAAACUGAAAGAGUGAAAGACUACAGGGAUAAUGGGAUGAGUUAGUAUUAGGGUUCAAAAAUGAAAGGUUGAGAUCAAAACAUCUAAAAAAAUCAACGGCUCAGAUUAGUCUAUAUUUUACACAGGACAGGCCUAGUGUUUUUAGACUUAGAUCCCAUCCCAUCCUGUCAAAUUUUGGGACGGGAUCAGAAUGGGACCAGGAUUUAGGUUUUUUAUACCCACCCCUAAUAAAAUACCCCCAUCCCCAACUUUCCUCUCUCUCUCUCNNNNNNNNNNNNNNNNNNNNACCUAACCUAACCUACCUACCUACCUCCUCUCUCUCUCUCUCUCUCUCUCUCUCUCUCUCUCUCUCUCUCUCUCUCUCUCUCUCUCCUUACCAUCAUCGCCGCCCCUCCUCAAACUCCACUGCCUCGCCGCCGCCGCCGCACCAUGUGCGCCCCACGACCGUGCUCUUUGGCGUUGACUGGGGCUGGGUCCCUAUAGACUACACCUUCCCCGUCGCCGGUGACAAGAACUCCGAGGACGACUUCGAUGCGCUGACGACGACAAAGGGCGACGGAGCUAGCGCAGCCGCUCGUGGAGGUCGGAAUCGAGUUCAAGAUCCACAUCAGGAAGGAUCGGGACAUGAAGGAAAGGCUGUGCUUAGAGGUGGAGCGGCUAGGGCUCAGUUCCGUCAUUAUGGGCAGCCGAGGGUUCAGCGCCGUCAUUUCCUUCAAGAGGAGCGUCGUCGCCGCCUUCAAGAGGAACCUCAAGCUACAUGGCAGUAGCAGUACAUUAACUUGGUCAAGUCUUUACUUUGAAUUUAAAGGUGAUGUGAUAUGGUCGUCAUAUUCAUAGGCUAGCACCUUGUCAUGAUCCGAUCAAGUCUUUAGUUUGAAUUUGAAGGUGAUUUGAUCUUCAAUUUGUAUGAGAUAUUCAUGGAUUUGAUCUUUAGUUGGUACGAGAUGCUUGGUGAUCUAAUUCCUCACUGUCUCUCAAUUGUCUCACUCAGUAGUAGUAAUAUAAAUGAGGUUGAUUGGUUUGGGUUUGGGUUGAUUAGUAGGUGAUUUCAUAUAUGAAUGAGGUUUGUUUUGAGGACAUGAAUAAGAUCUGUUUAUCUGAAUGAGGUUUGUUUAUUGGGUUAAACCAUUACUGUGGUAAAUGCAGUUUUAAAGUUCAUUAGCAGUGAUACAUACAGCAGCAGCGCACUAGCAUCAGAGUCGGUAGUAGCAGCGCGCUUGCUGUUUUAAAGUUCAUUAGCAGUGACACAUAUAGUAGUAGCGCACUAGCAUUAGAGUCGGCAGUAUCAGCACUUUUGCAAUAAGAGAUUGUCAGAAAAAAAUUACAAUAGCAGCGGCAGUAACACCUUUUGAUUGGCAGUAGCACAUUUCAGUCGACAAUAGCAGUAGAAUAUGUAUUGAAGGGUAUUCUAGUAAAAUUGUAGUAACAGAUGGUAUGUGCAUAUUAAAUUGGGAAAAUGCCCAAAUGCCCAAAAAUAGGGUUUUCAUAACCCAAUUCAAUGAAAAACAUUUUGCUUAGCCCAUUCCAAUGUUUUCUUANNNNN